UACGUAGGGGGCAAGCGUUGUCCGGAUUUAUUGGGCGUAAAGCGCACGCAGGCGGUCCGUCGCAUUCAAAGUGACAGGUCCCGGCUCAACCGGGGCAGGUCUGGGAAUAUGGACGGACUUGAGGACUUCAGAGGGACGCGGAAUUCCAGGUGGAGCGGUGAAAUGCGUAGAGAUCUGGAAGAACACCAAUGGCGAAAGCACUCCGCUGGGCCGAAAACUGACACUGACAGACGAGAGCUAGGGGAGCGAAUGGG
rnacentral:rRNA from 1 species